rnacentral:lncRNA from 1 species
AUGCGUCAGGUCCUUGAUAGGCGACCCCAAGCCUGCUACUGCUCUGAGGCUCCUCCCUCGACCCUGCCGUGCCGGCUGACUCCGGCCACCUCCCUGACUCCCACCCCAGAGGGACCUGGGCCUGCCCUUGGGGCUGGACACCAGCUGUCCUUCCUGGGCUCUGGGUGUUGGCAGGCGUGGCACACAGCUGCUCAGGGCGUCCACUGCACAGGGGCAGCUGAGCAGCCAAGUGGGUGGGGCAGUGUGCCCUACAGGAGCGACGCACGUGGUAGGCCCUGCAGAGUCACGCAGGCCUGGCCACGCCUGCAGAUGCACACGUCUCCCUGCCUCUGUCUGUCUGUCUCCCUGCCUCUGUCUCUCUGUCUCCGUCUGUGUCUCCCUGUCUCCGACUGUCUUCUGUCUCCCUGUCUCCAUCUGUCUUCUGUCUCCGUCUGUCUGUCUCCCUGCCUCCGUCUGUCUGUCUCCCUGUCUCCAUCUGUGUCUCCCCAUCUCCGUCUGUCUUCUGUCUCCGUCUGUCUUCUGUCUCCGUCUGUCUGUCUUCUGUCUCCGUCUGUCGGUCUCCCUGUCUCCAUCUGUGUCUCCCUGUCUCCGACUGUCUUCUGUCUCCCUGUCUCCGACUGUCUUCUGUCUCCCUGUCUCCAUCUGUCUUCUGUCUCUGUCUGUCUGUCUGUCUCCAUCUGUCUGUCUCUCUGCCUCCGUCUGUCUGUCUCCCUGUCUCCAUCUGUGUCUCCCUGUCUCCGACUGUCUUCUGUCUCCCUGUCUCCAUCUGUCUUCUGUCUCUGUCUGUCUGUCUGUCUCCAUCUGUCUGUCUCUCUGCCUCCGUCUGUCUGUCUCCCUGUCUCCACCUGUGUCUCCCUGUCUCUGUCUGUCUUCUGUCUCCGUUUGUCUGUCUUCUGUCUCCAUCUGUCUGUCUCCCUGCCUCCGUCACUCCCUCUCCCCUGGCCCCCAGCCCACACCCGUUCUACACUCUGCUCCGCCCAACCUCCCACUGAUGCCUGUUCUUCUCUGUGGAAGCUGAGGCUCACACAGCUGGUCCCCAGCCCUCCCCUGCUAGCAGGGGACACACCAGCCCUGCAUGGGUGGAUGACUGCUGGACCAAGGGCUGGGUACACCCUGGGAACACUGGCCAGGCCUGCAGUGGGAACAGGAAGAGGUGACCACCUCAGGCUGAGCCCUCCUACCGUCUGUGUCCCCGCACUUCCCUUGGCCCUUUGUCCCGAAGCCCAGUCACUGACCGCGGCCUGGAGCCUCAGCCCCACCCCCGUCACAGGAAGGGGCAUGGGGAGCCAUGUGCAGGGGCUGGGAGGGCUUGGUCCCCUGCGAAUGCCCGUGUCCCCACUGGUGGGCGCAUGA